UUGAAUACGGCUGGAUGGAGAUGGAAAACCGUUACGUAUUUAAGUGGUUCGAAGGAGACCAACUUCCUUGCUUUGUCAGCGACUUCAUUCUAAAUCCUGAAGAAUCUGACUUGGAGGAUGAAGAUGACUUGUCACUUUCUGAAGACGAUUCCGAUGAUGAAAAUUAAUUAUAAAAUAUUUCAUGAUUAUUUCAUUGUUAUAAAUUAUUUCCAAAAAUAAAUAUAUUCUGAUAUGAAUAAUGAA